AAGUGUUGAAAAAUGUGUCUUUUCAUUUCCUCUUUACUUCAUGGCCUGGCUCACUUUUCACUUGAAAAAUUCCCAAGUCCAGGCUUGUAAUGUGCUGUAUCCCAAACGAGGGCAGGAGUGCACAAAAAUGCAAAAGUAGCCUGGUGAUGACCCAGUGAUAGGAAGCUUGCCUGGAUGCAUGCCAAGGCCUUGGGGUCCAUCCCUGAUACUACAAGUUCAUAAAAUCAACAAAUGAGUGCUGGCCAUUUCCCAGCCAGGCUUCAAUCCCAUGACUUGAUAGGGAUUGACUUGAUAGGAUAGAAGCUGUCGUGUCAGGCCUGCAUACUUGUCUGGCUCUGUACUCUUGGUUCUUGCCAGCAAUCCACCUUUGCCCUUCUCUACCUCUCCAGCCACACAUAGCUAGGUUCCUGGCACUGACUCUUGCUAGUUGCAGGCUUAGGCUAGCCUUUCCCUGUGUCCACCCAGGACUUGUCCUUUAACUUCAUGCUGCUUUCAAGUCUCACCUUCCUGACGAGCCCCGGGAGCACCAAGAGCUCCUCUGUUGUACUGAGGAUCCGCUUCGUCAGCAUUGGCUCCACCGUCCUGUGUGGCAGCUGACAGUCUAUGGAUCUGAGGGAAAGCCCAGCCAUUCAGGAAAUUUCCUCCCAGAGUCCCUGCAGAGUUGUGAAGAUUGUUUCACUGCACUGUCUUCCUCCGUGGACUAGGAGAGCCUCAAGGUUAGCCAUUCCUUAGUGACAGGCCAGCUUGCUCUCCAGGACAGGUGACCUGAGACCCUGCAGAACACAUCUCCCUUGAGUUUGGGCCCGUUGAAUGAUGGUGGUGUCACUACAGGCUGCUCCCAAAUGCCCCAGCCUGUGCUUAGACCCGUCAGUCAGUGCUCUCACUUACAUAGCUGAGUACUCAAAGAUGGGACUCCAGAUUCCAAGUGUUUGUCUCACCUGUGUCGGGUGUGAGUCUGCUUCAGGAUUUCUCUACAGAUCUGGCACACCAAUGUCAGGGCAACAGUGCGGCCUACUCCAAGUCCUGGACCCUGGACUUUGUUUUUGCUUCCUGGAGCACCAGCGUGACCUGGACUGGUAACACAAGCACCUGUAAAGCAUAUCAGCCAACCAAGCCCAAGCUACAGUUAGCAUUGUGUGGAAGUCAUGGACAUCUACCAGAUCUAUCACCAACUCCGAGAUGGGUGGCCUCAAGGAACUGUUCAAACUGAGAUUUGCCAAUGAUUUGAUCUUCAUGAAACGCUGGGGUGAAGAACCUGCUUAGUAAUACACAAGGAGCAGUCUGAUGGAGAGCUUCACUCAUGGCAUCCCAGUCCGUGGCUUCACCCAUCACAUCUUUGUCUGGCCUGUAGGUUAUCGUCAACAGAGGCUUGCUUGCAGGAGACUUGCUGGGGAUUUCACACACCUUUUAGGUAUUAACCAAGCAGCCUGGAGUUCAACACCCAAUCUAAAAGCUGUGGACAGAAAGAGGAAAGAAAUGAGUAUGGUUAUCAGGGACUUGGAAGCCCUGCAGUGACAAAAUACGGAGCAAAACAAGUGCCCAAAGUAUGAAGCAAAAGUGCACCACCAGGAGCGAACUGACUGAUCCUGUGGUGCCAGUGAUCCCAUUGUACCUUGCAUUUUUCAAAUGAACUGAAGUGUCUGAAUGAGCUGGCAGAGCUGAGAAGAAGGAUGCACCCGAGAGCCCAGUGGACUCAGCCAGGAACAUCACCAGAUGUUGGGGAUCCACACCCAAGGGUCCCUAUGCUUCCACUCUAACCGGGGCUGGUGCUGUUGGUUACACUGCUUCAAGCAAUCUGGAGCAGAGGUGGAAGGUCCAACCUGGGAGGGUUUGUGUGUGCCCAGCUCGAACGAGGUAUUCUGUGGGAAAGCAGACAUGAGCAGGGCAGCAGAGGUGGUGGUGCAGGGCAGAGGUGAGCAGCACUCUGGAGUCAGUCCACACUAACUCAGUGCACAGCCUUAGGGCAACACACUUAUUUGCACUGUACCUCAGUUUCCUGCCUGUAAAAUAGGUACCAAGUUAUCAACCCUAUUUAUGAGCAAUGCUUUACAGUGCUGAGCACAUCCUCCAGUUCCCAAAUACACGCAUUGGCAUGAACUGACUUGAAUGGAGGGGACAGGCUAGUGAGCUAUGCAGUAAGGUUGGGAGGUCCCCACAACAAUUGGCCUCCACAGAUGGGAGAGAUCAGACUAUGAAAGACAUGGAAGAGGUUUCCCUUGAAAGAUGAGAAAUAUUUAUUGAUGUGAUUUCUUCAUUUUGAGGAGCUAGGAGUUGUACCCAAGCUUGGCAAAGACUGGGCAAUUGUUUUCAUCCCAUAGGCAACAGCUCCGUGUUUUAGAUGAGCACCUGAGAGGAGUCUGACUGAUCCUAGGUGGGGAAAACAAAUCCAUGUUCUUGGUCACACUUUUCCCUCUACCCUCACUGUGAUCAAUUUAAUGAGCCCCAGCUGAACCUCAGGCUGGCUGCAUGACUGUAGUAUACAAGGAAAUCUGCUCUCAAGGAGAGGAGAGGAAACCAAGGAGCCUGGAGUAAGUCUCUGUGCCAGUGGCAAGGGACUGCCUGUAAAGAUAGGAGCCUCUGUUUGCAGUUUCCAAACAGCCCCAGCCUUCUCCCUAGCUUGGUGUCUCUCUUUCUUGUCUGUGCUGAUCUUUAGCUUCUGGGUUUCUGUGAACCUUGCCUUUGCUUUUCAAGAAGUUAGGACUCCAGACAAGCCUCGAUGUUUAUUUUAAAGAAGAAAGUGUGGCCUAGAGAGCCCAGCUAUAUUGCUGUGAUUGGUAAUGCAUUUGUAUACUUGCUGUGUCAUAGUUAACUUCUGAAGCGCUUCAGACAAUGAAGCCAAGCAGCACAGAGCAGAGUCCCUGGAGCUUCCUUUGGACUGAGGAAGAAGGAGAAGGUGACCUGUCGGUUGUGGGAAGAGGAACGGAAAGCCAUCAAGGUCCCUCAGAGGGGGCUGAGGAGGUCCAGCAUUGGUGUCAGUUUGUGAAGCUCAUGCAGAACCAUGCCAGAAGGGUGAGGGGGCUGCACUUCAUGUUGAGAACUGUAGGUCCUCGAGGCAAGAAGUGGAUGGAGGUGUCUCAGGCAUCAAGAGGAGACCCUGAGGGAAAGAGGAGGUCGGCCUGCAGAGAAGCUUUGCAUUUUGUUGUUUGUCUACUUGUUAAGUGUGGGGAAUGGCUUUCCCAUGGGGCCAGAGCCCGAGCAGUAGACUCGACCACACUUUUUAUUUUCUUGAAAGCUCUUGCAUGUCUGCUGUAGUGUUGCGUUUUUGCUAUAUAAGCCCAUGUCAUCUUACCCACUUUUAGUAAAGGCUGCUACAGACA
rnacentral:lncRNA from 1 species